UACGUAGGCACCAAGCGUUGUCCGGAUUUAUUGGGCGUAAAGAGCUCGUAGGCGGUUCAGUAAGUCGGGUGUGAAAACUUUGGGCUUAACCCAAAGCGUGCAUCCGAUACUGCUGUGACUUGAGUACGGUAGGGGAGCGGGGGAAUUCCUAGUGUAGCGGUGAAAUGCGCAGAUAUCAGGAGGAACACCGGUGGCGAAGGCGGAUCUCUGGGCCUUACCUGACGCUCAGGCACGAAAGCUAGGGGGAGCGAACAGG
rnacentral:rRNA from 1 species